GUCAGGAUGAACGCUGGCGGCGUGCUUAAUACAUGCAAGUCGAACGAAGUUAUCUCGCUGAGGCGAGCUUGCUCAAUUCUUGAGAUAACUUAGUGGCGGACGGGUGAGUAACGCGUGGGUAACCUGCCUUACACAGGGGGAUAACAGUUAGAAAUGACUGCUAAUACCGCAUAAGCGCACAGUAUCGCAUGAUACAGUGUGAAAAACUCCGGUGGUGUAAGAUGGACCCGCGUCUGAUUAGCUAGUUGGUGAGGUAACGGCCCACCAAGGCGACGAUCAGUAGCCGGCCUGAGAGGGUGAACGGCCACAUUGGGACUGAGACACGGCCCAAACUCCUACGGGAGGCAGCAGUAGGGAAUAUUGGACAAUGGGGGAAACCCUGAUCCAAGCGACGCCGCGUGAGUGAAGAAGUAUUUCGGUACGUAAAGCUCUAUCAGCAGGGAAGAAAAUGACGGUACCUGACUAAGAAGCACCGGCUAAAUACGUGCCAGCCGCAGC
rnacentral:rRNA from 1 species